rnacentral:rRNA from 1 species
GACAGAGGGUGCAAACGUUGUUCGGAAUUACUGGGCGUAAAGCGCGUGUAGGCGGCCAUCUAAGUCGGGCGUGAAAUCCCACGGCUCAACCGUGGAAGUGCACUCGAAACUGGAUUGCUAGAGUCCUGGAGAGGAAGGUGGAAUGCUUGGUGUAGAGGUGAAAUUCGUAGAUAUCAAGCGGAACACCGGUGGCGAAGGCGGCCUUCUGGACAGUGACUGACGCUGAGACGCGAAAGCGUGGGGAGCAAACAGG